rnacentral:lncRNA from 1 species
CCUGCUACAUCUCAAUUUGUGUAUCUGUUUUGGUAUCUCUUGCACUGUGUAUCUGUUUUCUUGUAUGAGUGGGUAUCUCAUUUUAACUAGUUGGAGAACAAAAAGCAUGGUACUAGCUAGCUCAAUUUGUGUUAUCAUUCUAAAUAAAUGUCAUUUUCUUGAAUGGCCUGUUCAUAAUAUAUUUUCAUGUCAAGUUUCGCCAGCGCGAGGUAUGCGACCGAGGUGGCUGCUGCUGUGACCGAAGAUCAGAAGAAGCUUGGAGAUGUGCACAAUAGUUUUGGUGCCUCUGUAUUUGUUUCUGAUUUGUAUGUACACUUGAUGGAUCAUGCAAAUGUGUUGUUCUGAGUUUCAUAGAGUGAUUUUUGGAUUUGAUCAUUUAAUUGUGAGAAUUAUUGAUUGUUUGCUGUUGAAAUGUGUAAAAUUGAAAUCUGUGAAUGAAAAAGGCUGAAUGUUCGUCUAUUGGAUCGAAUAAUAUUUGUGCUCUAAAAAGGCUAUGGCCCAAACAAUAGUGGACUGGAAUAUUGUGCUUUUAUGAAAAACAAAAACAAAAGGCUGAAUGAAACGGAAUGCAAAAUGGCCUAAGCCCAGAAAAUAAAAAGGCUGAAUUGUAGGGCUUGGCCCAUGAAUCUGACCAAAAAUUGAUAGAAAAAAACACAAAUAGGUUGAAUUAUUGGGCUCGGCCCAUGUAAAACACCUAAUCGGACCGGGCUGAAUCUUGUGCCACAUCAGAUUGCCACGCUGGAUGCCUACGUGGCCUGGGGAGGUUGCUAGUGACCAAAACGCCAUAGUAGACGUAUUUUGGUCGUAAAUGUUUAUGACCAUUCCAGAAGAAAGGUCGCUAAUGUCAGUUUAUGACGGCCAGCUAUUGACCUUAUGAUUUUGGUCACAAAAAGGUCACAAAUGGAAAUUUGUGACCAUUCAGUGACCAAUAGUGGUGGUCACAAGUUGACAUAUUUCUUGUAGUGACAUUACCGUACAAGUAGCACUACAUAUGAAAGCACACUGCAGAAUCAUGUGAAAGAAGGCUAGUACUGACCUGUCAUGACACAGAAUUCAAACAACUCACAAGAAGAAGAUCUGAACCAAAUUUGCCAACACGGAUAGGAAGUAUGAUCUUCUCUUGUGCAGUUCCACUAAGAUCAAGCAAUCAAGCAAUGUUGUUGGUGUGGCAUUUUGGUUGAACUGCACAAAACACUCUUAAAACAAAAGUGUUUUAUGCAGUGCAACAAAAGGUCACAAUGCCAACGAGGUGAAGUAGAUAACCCUGUUUACACAGAGGUGCAAAGGAAACAACUAUUGGUCAAUAACGGUGGAUGACACAGAAGCCAACAAAAAGAAGCAUCUACCUUAUCUAAAUGGGAAAGAAAGCAAGACAGUAGCAUUUCUCAAACGGUGGCAUUGGUUAAUAUUAACAGAGAGAUUAUAUUAAUAAUAAAAUUCGUUAAACAUGUAAUUUGCUUUGAACUGUAGCAUUGCAUCAAUUUUCCAGCGCCAUUAUUAGAGGGUGUUUGUGUACAGGGACAUUUUGGUGGAGGGUCUAAAAAAACUCCAUGUCAGUCCCAUCUAAACCAAACAGGAGGGACUUUUAGGGACUAAAAGUGGGCAUUUGGGACUAAAGAAAGAAGACCCUGCCACGCAUCGCACCUUGUCUCUAUUAGUUCAUUACUAGGGGUAACAUGGUCUUUUAGCAUGUCAUUUAAUAACCUCUACUCCAUGUUUAGUCCCUGGAACCAGGCAGGUAGGGACUUGGGAGUUUUUAACCAAACAGGGCCUUAGAUUAACAGCAGCUAAAGAGUUGCACGGGACAGUGGACGCACCAGCACCAUGUGCAUCUACCGAUGUACUGGGGUGAUGCACAGUCUGUUGCAACCAAGAACAAACAACCAAAUAGCAUAUCUGUGUUGGUCCCAGUUUUGUUAUCUUUAGACACCUUUCCCUAUGUGAGUGCAGCAAAUCUAGUCCUGCUCGAACUCUAUAGCCUUGUCCCCAAAAACAAAACAAAAGAUCAAUUUGUUACAGAUGUGCGUACUGCAUUUGUCAUUGUUUUCCCUUUUCGACCAACGUAGGUGCUGGAUAGCCAAUCUGUACUAGUACUUUCCCCCUUCCUUUCCUCUUUGAACCAUGUCCUAGAUUUAUGCUAUACAGCUUUCCCCACUACUUUCCCCCAUUCCUUUCCUCUUUAAACCACGUCUUAGAUUCAUGCGAUACAACUUUCCCCCUUCCUUUCCUUUUUGAACCAUGUCCUAGAUUCAUGCUAUACAAUUUUUCCCACUACUUUUCCCCAUUCCUUUCCUCUUUCAACCAUGUCCUAGAUUCAUGGUAUACAACUUUCGCCACUACUUUCCUGUUUGAUCAAACACCUAGAUUCAAGUGCAGAAGUGGAAAAAGCCCACAUGCAGCUAGAGCAAUGCAUGUGGAAUAAGUAAAUUAUACCUUAAGGUUCUUGGGGUGUGGUUCGGUGGGCGACUGGAGGCCGUUCGGCCCACACUAUGUACGACACCACUGGGUGAAAGUGAACAGCUACGCCGGUAGUGGAUUCCCUCCCUCGCCGACGGCGACAGCGUUAAGCCUCCUUCCCUUGCCCGCGGACAGAUCCUGCCGACUCUUUGACCAGCAGUGAGGGGAGAGAGAGAGCCUAACGAAGUCUUAUUUAGAUAUAGAGAGGGUGAGAGAGUGUGAAGAGAGCAACUACAAGCAGACCAGUAGUGAGGGGAGAGAGAUGCCAACGAAGUCUUGUUUAGAUCUGGAGAGGGUGAGAGAGUGUGAAGAGAGCAACUACAAGCACUAAGGCUCUAGCGUGUAUAUAUAUACUCGAGAGAGAGUGAAGAGUGCAAACCCUAGAAAACAAGCGCCGAGGCUGCAGCUGAUCAUAUAGCUCCGUAUCCAUCCAUUUUGAGCAGUCAAAGAAUCCUCCUGGCACGAAUUAUGCUGAAGUGUAGUUAUCGAACCCGAGACCUAAAGUUUGAUGAGCGAACAGGCUAACCAACUACACAACCCGCCCGUUAUGUUCAACGAGAGGAAAAUAACCUUUUAUACAUUCAUGCAUUCGUGUGACAAGCAUGUCGUGUUUUUGUGUGGGAGUCAUUGGGAUUUAAAUCAUAAUCGUGUCAUGCGGCUUUGGUGUUAAGACUAUCCACAGUGGUGCAGAAAUAAUGCAGCCUUAGUCACCUUACCUCUCUCCACGUAGUACGUUGGGUCCCACCAGUCAGAGGGUGAAACUAACAAAUUAAUAAGAAAAAUUAAAAGCGCCAACGGUGUAUCUUACCUCACACAUCUCGCUACUGCUCGGGAACACUGUCCAAUUGAUCCCUCUGUUCGCUCACAUACUAUUUUAAGUGAAUCCUUAUUAUAACAUGCACACAAUUUUGGGCACUUGUAUUCGACCUAAGUCAGUGUGCCACCGUAUCUCGUACGACUCCCUCCGUCUAGGUGUAAUAAGUCACGUUAGAAGGUGUGGCGGGACCAAGGUGCAAGCAGAUUGGAGGACAAGGAGAAACUUGACCGGUCAUUCCUCCAAUCAAAGCCCUGAUUUCUGUCUCUAAACGCAACAAUUAAUCUAAAUAACUAAGAGAUGCCAUUUUAGCUACCAUGCAGGGCCACGUAUUAACUCGCAUGCAAGCCAACAUUGAUUUCUUGACUGAUCAAAGCGAGGUUGCGCUCCAUGCAUUGGAUUUCCAGGGGAGAAAACAAGGCAGAGUAAGGAGGGUUGGUUACAUUGCUUAGGCUGGUCAUAGUGGUGAGUAACUUGGACUACUAACAUGCAUAUGUUACUAGUCUAUGUUACUACUAUGCGAAGUUUGCCGUCGGAAGCGAGCCGAUCUGGCUCUCCUGAGCUAGCAAGGUUUUUCUAGCCCACCCAAGCUAGCUGGCCCACAAAAGCUAACAUAUUUUAAUAGUUCCAAACGCCUAACCUUGCCCGGCUAUGCUAUAAGCUGUUCUUGCUAAGGAUCCAAACGCUCCCUAAGUAACAAUGCUCGCUAGCAAUGAGGCCAGGAGGGGAUUGAGAUGCGAAGUUAAUGGACGGCGCCUAAACAUUUUCGGAAUAUCUAAUUUCCGUAAGAUGACUUAACACCUAGACGAAGGGAGUACUACUCCUCAGUCCAGGUUUGAUGGAAUAUUCGUCACCUCUUCGCUUCUUGUAUGCACUCCAUUUGUAUCUCACUUCCCGUGGCUUCGGACAUGCACGAUUUUCCUAUUCUAUGAACUUGUGUGUGCGUGCGCGCGCGCGCACGCGUGUGUGUGGGUGUAUGUGUGUGUUUAACAACAUGUGUGUGUUAGAGAGAGUGACAGAUCGACCUACUCCUAUAGAGAGAUGGUGUGUAGUGUACGAUUUUAGCCGUGAGAGUCGGUGCAUCCUCUCGUUUUCGGGCGUCCGAUAGAGAGACAGGCGGACAGCUGCCACGCCCGAUCCUGACCAGCCUAGCCCACCCAAAGCCCCUCCAUCGCCCACACGCGCUUCCCGCCCGAAACGGCCAGCACCGCUCCAUAGAAUCGGUGCCACAUUCAUGCCCGGGCAGAGCGGACGCGACAUCUCACUGGCGCCUGCGUUGAAGGGAGAAGCGGAUUCAAGAGUGAUGGUUGCUUCGUCCAUCCAACUUACUGCUGGGUCUAUAUGAUUUGACGGCUCAUUGGUCAUUAUUACUGAGGUGGGAGGACUGCUGGAUGUCCCACACUUUCUGCAAAAGGAGGUACUACUAGAUUACAAUUUUCUCCAUUCUUACGGCGGAGGAGUGCAAGAGCAGUGAAAACACGCAGGCUCAGUGAUUACAUGGCCCACCUCACACUAUCACCAUAUUUUCUGGACACCGUGCGACACCUAACUCUUUACAUAGUACUCCCUCAGUUCCUAAAUAUAUAAGUCUUUGUAGAGAUUCCACUAGGUGGACUACAUACAGAACAAAACGAAUGAAUCUACACUUAAAAUGCAUCUAUAUACAUCCUUAUGUGGUUCAUGGUGAAAUCUCUACAAAGACUUAUAUUUAGGAACGGAGGAAGUACUAGUAUAGUACGCUGUAAUUUAUCAGCGAGAUAGUACAAUGCUAUGAAGCUUCCAGCUUCUGUUACAUGUAUCUUGCGUCCAAGGUUGCCCAUUGCAACAUUUCAUCAAAUACAAAGGAGACUAACAUGCAUGCUAUUGCAUCUCAAUGAUUGACAGAUCAUAGCAAAUAUGUACUCCCUCCGUUCCAAAAUAAGUGUCUCAACUUUAUGCAGGGGUGUUUGUUUCCAGGGACCUUUUAGCUUAGGGACUUUUUAACCAAACAGGAGGGACUACUAGGGACUAAAACUUGCUUUUUGGGACUUAAUGAAGAAGACUCUCAAGGAGAGUCUUUUUUGGGACUUUUCCAACAAUGCCCCUCCCUGCACCUAUUGCCCCGCUGCCCCAUGGUGUUGUUUGGUUGUUAUUUUUCUAUAUACUGGGGGUAACAUGGUCAUUCAAUAACCUCUAGGGAGGGACUAGGGACUUUUUAGUCCUUGAAAACAAACAGGGAGGGACUUUUUAGUUGGGACUAGAAAAAGUCCUAGGACUUAUGAACCAAACAGGGCCUCAAUAUGGACUACAUACGAAGCAAAAUGAGUGAAUCUACACUCUAAAAUACGUCUAUAUACAUCAGUGUUUGGAGUAUGUACUAGUAGUUCAUAUUGAAAUCUACUAAAGGACAUAUAUAUUCCAAACAAUAUCAUAAUCUCUCUAACCAAUGUAGUAGGGACGAGAAGUAAAUGGAGGGAGUAGUAAAUUUUUCUCCUCGUUCUAUGAGCCACCAUGCGCGUGGGCGAGGGAGCGGGCGUAAGGUGUAUAGUACUACUACUAGUAAGCAAGCUUCACCUCAUCCUGCGAGCCACCGCGCCCGUGGGCGGGGGAGAUGGUGCACUAAGCAAGCUUCUCCUCGUUCUGUGAGUUGACGGACACAUCAAAAGUACUCCAGUGUAUAGAGCCUUGCCUCUAAGGUAGGCCCCACAUGGUUUGCCUCUUUUUUAACAUAACGCGUCAAGUCACAAUUUGUUUGUUCACCCAUGGUAGACGAUCCUCCCUCCAUCUAGUGGACAACUAGUACACGUGUCAAAUUACCACGUGGGCUACCUUUUCGUACAGAAGUGAGCUCCACCGUGUACCCGCGUGGGUGUGGUUGGGAAAGAGACGGGAGUACGUGCGCCGUGCGUGCACCUCUUCUCUUCGUGCACAUCCCCCACCUACGUGGGUGUGUGUAAGAGAUACAAACCUAGACAAAUGGCUUGUGCGUUCAUGAGUGUUUUUUGUUUGGGGGGGUUGAUUUUGUGAAUGUAUUUGUGGGAAUAUGUGUCGAUGACAUCUCCAAAAAAAUUUUGCAUGCAAUGUGUGUGAAAUUAAGGCCUAUCCAUAUCAUAUAUAGAGGGCCGGGCGAUCCACGAGAAGAGAGGGAGGGGUCAUAGAUAUCGAUAGAGUCGAAGAGAGGAUCAAGUGGGUGGGUGCGAGAUCGAUGAAGAGAGCCAUCGAAAUUGUGUGUGUGUGUGUGUGCAAGUCAAAGAUAUAAGGCAACUGACCUACCGGAACGUCAGAGGGCACAUGUCAAGUUUGUGUGUGGCAGGGAGACAUGACUAGAGCGCUCGAUGUAUUGGUGUGUGUGGGGGGAGGGGUGGGGGAGGGGUAGGAAGAGGCCUAACUAUAGAAGUAGAACGACUGGUGUAUGUGUUGAGAAGGAGAGACCCAACUAUGUCUUGAGGGAGAUCGGACGACAUCCUUACAUAACUGAAGGACGGGAAAUAGGAUGGGACAAAAAUAGAGAGGAGAGAGAGAGGAAAGGAGAGGGGUAGUGUGCUGGAUGGGUGAUGGAGUUUCUUCUCGAAUAUGGUGGGAGAGGCCUACUAGACAAACUGAGAGUGGAACUGCAAUAUUAUCAAUAAGAGUGGGGAUGUGUUUCUGUGUGUGCCUGUGCGUGAUAGAUCUGUCGGGACGCAUCCAUGGAUGAUGAAGGGGAACCAUGUGUUUGGUAAGCAAACCUAACUAGAUCGGUAGAUCAAUUGUUGUUUGUCGGAGGAAGGGAGAGACAUAUCUAAUGAGGUAGAUCGAUCGACGUGUGGGGAAUAACGAGUUAUAAGGACCUAGCUAGCUAUAUGUAUAGCGGGAGAUCGGUCGGUGUACGUCCAUUUGUUAGAGGCAAAUAAGGCCCGACGAGACGGACAGACAGAGAAUGUAGCUAGCAGGUGGUGUGAGAGGUCCAGCUACUAGCUAGAUAGGGGGAGGAGUGUGCGGUUGUGAGAUCGACGAAAAUAGGGGCGAGAGUUUACACGUGUGUGGGACUGUAUGAGAGACACGAGGCAAGGACACAUAAAGGAGGAGAUUGAUGGUGCGUGUGUAUGUUGUAGGCAAACAUCGCUGGAGAGGUUUAUCGAUCAGUGUGUGUCAGAAAGGAGUUGUGGAGACUGUGGGAGAACGACCUAAAAAAUGAAUGUGCGUGAUGGAUAGAAUGUUGAGGGAGGGGGGCGGCGAGGAGGGCGUGUGCAUGCAUGAGAGAAAGUUAGUGGUAGCUACAAAGGUUAGAGGAUUGUGUGGGUGUAAGAGACUAACAAAGAUCAUAAUUUGAUAUGAAAGUGGAUUCAUAUAUUUGAAUAGGAGAUCAUAGUGUUUUAAACAUAUGCAUGCAUGAAUAUAGCGGUGAUACGCGUGUUGUGGUUUUGCACAUGUUAUACCAUAAUGUGAUAAUGCAUGCCAUUUGCAACUCACAGCUAAAUAUUGAACAAUCUAAACCAUACUAUACAUCGAACAAUCUCACAUGUUAUUGGAAUUUGUGAUAAUGUGUGGCGUUUGCAGCUUACAACUAAAUAUCGAACAAUCUAAACAAUACUAUAUAUCGAACAUUCUCACAUUUUAUUUGAAUUUGUGGUAAUGUGUGGUGUUUGCGCCUCACAUCUAAAUACUUGUAGGCGUAAGGGGCAGGGCACCAUACAUAAUGUGAUAAACACAUUAUACAUAUGAGACAUGGUUUAGAUUAUGAAGAUCUAGCUAGAGCUUGAAAUGUACUAUGAUUUGAAAUCAACAUAAAGUGGAUUCAAAAAAUUGAGUUCGAGUUCAUAUAGUACACAUAGUUCAUAUGUAACUUGAGACUAAUCAUGUGGUGUGCUGUGAAGAUAAUACACAAACGAUGGUUUAACUUGACAAUAAUGAUGAUUGUAGAUCUUAUUAAAAUAGAGAAACGAAUUCAAAUGCUUUGACUUCACCACAAUCAUUAUUGUAGAUCUUAUUCAAAUAGAGAAACGAAUUCAAAUUUAGUUCAUAUUGAAGCUGUAGUAUAUACGUUUGGAAUGCACUAAAACGUUCAUUUGAGUAGUAGGUUACAUGCAUUAUACAUGUAGCGAAAUAUUUUAAUUGAACAUAACAUGAAUUCAAAGUUUGGAAUGACAUUUGUAGUUCGAAUUGAUUUGGUACAGUACACGUUAGGCUUGCCCGGGAAUUUGAACCCGCGCCUUGGUAGCCCGAAAUAUUUAAGAUAUAUCUUUGUCUCGUUGUGCUCCGACAACACCCUCCAUAUCAACCCGCGCCUUGCUAUUCCAAAAUUACAACGCGCGCAAAAACUCCCACCUCCUGUGAAAUCCCGACACGCAAAAUGCCCGUGAUACCCCUGAACCAAAAGAAAGGCCUCAAAUCGGUGGCUGUUCUUUCGUAACUUACCCCACAGUUCGGCCAAGCGCAUCCCUAAGCCAUGGUUCCCCACUCCCAUUCCAUCCGUCCUCCCAUUCGUACACAGAGGCCGGGAAAACCCGCGAAGCGCCAUACCCUCCUCCAUCCGCCACCCAGCCUGAGCCUCUUCCCCGACAACAUCGUCCAUAGCAACACCUCGACGUGUCUCAUCCACCAUACCGGAUGAGGAUCCAUCGUCGAUCUGGUCGUCCUGUCGGUUUAGCCACCCCGUCCUCCACCUCCAAGGAUCUGCCCCGACAUUCCCCUCGUCUUUCGCACCUCCUCCAUUCCCACACCGCCGUCUUCACCUGCACCACCGGAAGAGCAUCAUCAUCACCAUUUCCUCGGAUGAAUUUGCGGCCUAAUCGGCGCUGUCGGUGUCAAAACCGGCGGAUCUCGGGUAGGGGGUCCCGAACUGUGCGUCCAAGGUCGAUGGUAAUAGGAGACAAGGGUCACGAUGUUUAUCCAGGUUCGGGCCCUCUCUAUGGAGGUAAUACCCUACGUCCUACUUGAUUGAUAUUGAUGAAUAUGAGUAUUACAAGAGUUGAUCUACCUCGAGAUCGUAAUGGCUAAAACCCUAGAGUUCUAGCUUGUAUGACUAUGAUAAUGAGUCCCCUAUCCGGACUAAGUCCUCCGGUUUAUAUAGACACCGGGAGGAUCUAGGGUUACAUAAAGUUGGUUUCAAAGAAAGUAAUCUACAUAUCUGGUCGCCAAGAUUGCCUUCCACGCCAAGGAGAGUUCUAUCCGGACACGGGUGCAGUCUCCGGUCUUCGUAUCUUCAUACCCCAUAAGUCCGGCCCAUGGCUAACAGGCCGGACACCCGAGGACCCCUUAGUCCAGGACUCCCUCAGUAGCCCGUGAACCUGGCUUCAAUGACAAGGUAUCCGGCGCAUAGUGCUGUCUUCGGCAUUGCAAGGCAGGUUCCUCCUUCCGAACUCCAAAAUAGUCUUCGGACAAAUUGAUCAUGUCCGGACCUGUAACACACAGCCGUAGAGAGUAUAGUAUUCUACGAAUCCAAUCUACUGACAACUUUUAGUAAUGUGAAGUCACGCUUCUCGGUCAUUACUUCGAACCGUUUCCCAGCCCGCCGUUCCAUGUUUCAGGGCGUGGUUGUCAUUGACACGUCUUGUCGAAGUAGAGAUCGUGUCCCCUAAUUGUGGGAUUUUCAUCAAUGCGAACAUGGGUAACCCAACCGUCCUGCAGGAAAGAUUCUUUAGGAAUAGGCAGGUUCUUAGGCUUAGGAGGAGGUGUUCAAUACCCGCUGCCUUUAUAAAGGAACCAAGGGUCGUCUUUUAUGCCAAACCUCUCCUCAACCUUCCCAACCUCGAGUUCUAGCACCCAAGGUUUGACUUCAUCGUUUCAAGCCUCCCCAUCAUGUCUGGACCCAGCUCCCAAGGCCGAUGGGUGGCUUCCUCCGUUACGGAGGAGGACAUCGCAAAGCUUUGGGCGGCCAGAUAUUUGACUGUGGAGGUCCACCACAGGCUUCCUGCUCAAGGACAGGUUAUUCCAACCCCCAGAUCUGGUGAGAGGGUCGUAUUCAUCUCCCACUUCCUCCAGGGGUUAGGGUUCACUCUUCAUCCCUUCGUCCGGGGGCUAAUGUUUUUAUUACGGACUAGAUUUUCAUGACCUAGCCCUGGACUCUAUCCUCCAUGUCUCGGCAUUUAUCAUUACAUGCGAGGCCUUCCUCUGAAUCCCCCCACACUUCGGCUUAUGGCUCAAGACCUUCAGUGUGAAGCCGAAGAUAGUCGAUGAGGAAUACGUGGAGUGCGGCGGUGCUACGAUCAGCCAACUCACCAGCACUUGUUGGCCAAAAGGUUAUUUUACCGAAACUUCCAAUCAGUGACAACGGGAGUGGUUUUACGUUACGGCGCCCUGCAACACCAAGUGGGUAGCUGCACCCACAUUCCUUCCUGGCCCACCAUUACAACUUGCAUCAUCGGUCAACAAGGGGCUAGACUGGGGAUCAGUUGAUGAAGUGCAAACUUUACAGAGCUGCAUCUGAACCCUCCUCGAGAGAGACAUCGAUCUUGUCAACGUGAUCCAAGUGAUGUUAGUUUGCCGAAUCUUGCCAUGCCAGCGUAGGUCUCGCCGCAUGUGGGAGCUUAAUCCAGAAGGACCACAAACCCUCCAACACUUCUUCGACACCACACAUGAAGUGAUGUGGAAUUUAUUUUUCGAGAAGCGGAAACAUCGGCCGGACAUUACCGAAGAUGCUGGCCUUAACUGCAACCGUCCGGAUACCCCGGUAAGCACUUGGCUCCCGAACACUUUGUAAUUAUGCAUACCAUAAUAUGGUACUGAGCAAGCUAUCUUCUUCCAGGGCUGGACAAAGAAGGCAGAACUAAUUAUGUGUUCGGCCCCUCUGCCCGAGGGCCCAGUGAAUCCUGUUCUAAUAAGGAUGCUGGCCCUGGCACCAUACUAGAUGCCUGUGAAGGAGGGCAAGGCGAAGAGUGAGAGGACCAAUUAUGGCACCUAUUCCAAGGGUGCAUCAGACAUUGUGUCCGAAGGAAUCAAAAACCCCUCAUCCGAAGACAAAAGUGGAGGGAGGGCCAUGGUCUCCUUUCCUCCUAGGAAUAGAAGGGCCGCCUCCGAAUAUUGGGAGAAGCAGGCGCCUAAGCGAGGCAAGAUGCCUUAGGUGGGUGGCUCGGGCUUGGAGGACGUCGAAGCACAACACUACAAGAAAUAUGUCAACUUGUGACCUUGACUAUUGGUCACUGAAAGGUCAUUGUUUUUCAUUUGCGACCUUUUUGUGACCAAAAACAGAAGGUCAAAAGCUGGCGGUCGUAAUCUGAAAUUAACGACCUUCUCUGUGAGAAGGUCGUAGAUGUUUACGACCAAAACAGAAGGUCGUUGAACCCAUGACCUUUUGUUUUGGUCACUAGCUGUCUGCCUAGGCCACGUCGGAUCCGGCGUGGUAAUCUGAUGUGGCAAAAUUGCGACCUAUUCAAAAGGUCACUGAUAAGAUUCAGCCCAGUCCGAGUAGGUGUCUAUAUGGGCCGAGCCCAUUAAUUCGGCCCAUUUAUUAUUAUUUUUUCUAUCAAUUUUUGGUCUAUUUCAUGGGCCUAGCCCAACAUUUCAGCCAUUUAUUUUCUAGGCCGCACCCUUUUACGUCCAAUUGUUCGGGCCUUAGCCUUUUUUUAGUCCAAUUCUUAUUCAGGCCUCGGCCUUUUUGUGGUCCUUUUAAAUUUUGGAACUCGACCCUUUUACAAUCCAUUUUAUUUAUUUUCGGAAAUUAAUAUACUAGCAUUGCUGAAACAGACCCCAACUAUGUUUGGACUGUGGCCUUUUUAAGGUCUAGUAGUGUUUGGGCCAAGGACUCUUUCAGUAUUAUGUUCACAUCCAACUAAAUACAUUUAUCACAAAUUCAAAUUCCCAGCAUUUGAAUAACAAGUACACCCAACAUUAAAUAACAGGUACAAUAAGUAAAUAUACACCCAAAUCCUAGCAAGAUCAGCAUUACAUCAAAAUUCCAAGCAAAUUCUGCAUCACAAGUUCAAUAACAUAUAAAGCGAGCCGCUGACUGGGGCUUCGAGCUUCUUCAAAUUUCUUUGGCCGAGGAACUCCUAUAAAUGAGAGGGAAAACAGAUUAGUCACAAGUACACAAGCACUGUUUGCAUCAGUACAUCGACACUCGCAAGUAAUACAUCAUUCACUUAAAACAUCUAAAGUGAAAUAGAUACUUGACAUGACACAUGAGGAAGAUGUUGCCAGACAAAGAUGACACUUGUAUAGACCUUGAAAAAACAUACAAGUCAGUGAUGCUCCAACACAUCACUCAUGGACUAAAAUAACAAGAUAAAGCAUCACUAGGGAUGCAUAGUGAUCUUACUAAUAUGUUUUAGUUGUCUACUUUGGAGUUGCAGUAUCUCUUAACAGCAUGCUACACUCUGAACUUAGUGUUCAUAGCAACAUAUGAAGUGAGGAGAUUUGAAUAGAUUUUUCAAAUACAUGUGCUGGUAUGGGAAUGCUUCUCUAGAAUGAUGUACAUGUGCACAGUUUUUCAAAUAAAUAUGAGGACUCCUAGGACAAUCAGAGAAUGAAUGAAUGCGAAAGGCAGAGCAUCAUCAUAGAUGAAGGCAUCACCAGAAUUCGUAUUUACAUGGAGAGACACUAACAUGCAGGAAUAUGUAUGGAUUGUCAAAACUUGCAUUAUCCUACUAUCACUAGUACAAAAAGUUGCAGGUUGGCAUAUCCAUGAACCAUGUACCUCAUGACAGAUACAAUAUAUCAUUGAAUGCUCGACUAUGACAAAAGUUAAACAAUUACACCUAACAAAGGCAAAGCAAAGAAUCAUAGAGCGAGUAGGAGGGGUAGAAGGGCACCUAAGGAGCUCAUCGGAAGUGGUUGUAGCCUAGGCUGAGCUUCACCAUCACAGCGACAGCCAAGGGAGGCAGCCAAGCCUACCAAUGCGUAGACAUCAUAGGAGCAGUAGCCGUGUAGCACCACCACUACCGGAAAGUAAAAAACCUAGAAAGAAAGUAAAAAAAACAGCCGCCCUACUACAGAACAUCAUUAGGCGCAAAUAUUUGGCAUAUUCAAACAUGAUGCUGUUCUACGACUAGAUCAGGUAGUUAGUACCACCAUGAUGCUACAGGUAGAAAAUAUCUACUCUAUCAUAUGAGUUUGACUUCGGGGUAUAUAGGGGAAGAUGGUAGCUCAGUGUAUCCAAUUAUCCAUACAAUGUAAAAGGUCAUGAACAUACUAGAUGCAAUAUUAUCACCAUUUAUAGUACAAUAAACUCAGAUCUUACAGAACAAAUUGACAUUAUCAGACAAUUCAGGAGACUGUGUGUUUUCUCCCAGCCAUAUCAUACACCAAAAGCACAGUGCCCAGCAAAUGUGAAACCCUACUUGUUACCGGUGAGUAUGAGGAGGUCAUCGCUACCUAUCACAAUUGCACGAGUAGGUCAUCAUUUGGAAUCUGGCACAACUCUGCAAGGAGGUCGGCAUCAUUAAUCCUGAAAUUUUAAGUAUUGUUUGGUGAAGUUAACUCAAACAAUAAUAUGUCUAAGAACGACCAGACUUCAAAGAGUGCCCAAAAGAUUCUACCAGAGAGUCAAGACGAAAACGUGUGCCAACCCCUAUGCAUAGGUUCAUGGGCGGAACCUGCAAGUUGCUCACCAAAACAUACAUCAAGUGGAUCAAUAGUAUACCCCAUUGUCACCACGGGUAUCCCACGCAAGACAUACAUCAAGUGUUCUCAAAUCCUUAAAGACUCAAUCCGAUAAGAUAAAUUCAAAGGGAAAACUCAAUCCAUUACAAGAGAGUAGAGGGCGAGAAACAUCAUAAGAUCCAACUUUAAUAGCAAAGCUUGCGAUACAUCAAGACUGUACCACCUCAAGAACACGAGAGAGAGAGAGCGAUCAAACAAAUAGCUACUGGUACAUACCCUCAGCCCCGAGGGUGGACUACUCCCUCCUCAUCAUGGAGAGCGCCGAGAUGAUGAACAUGUCCACCGGAGAGGCAUUGCCCCUCUGGCAGGGUGCCGGAGCGAGUCUAGAUUGGUUUUCGGUGGCUACAGAGGCUUCUGGCGGUGGAACUCCUGAUCUAUCCUCGUCUCUGGUAGUUUUAGGGUAUAUGGAUAUAUAUAGGCAGAAGAAAUACAUCAGGGGAGCCACGAGGGGCCCAAGAGGGUGGAGGAUGUGCCCAGGGGGGUGGGCGCGCCCCUUGGCUUGUGCCUUCCUCGUUGCUUCCCUUAUGUACACCCCAAGUCUUCUGGAUUGCUUCCGUUCCAAAAAUAAGUUUCAUGAAGUUUCAGGUCAAUUGGACUCCGUUUGAUUUUCCUUUUCUGCGAUACUCUAAAACAAGGAAAAAACAGAAACUGGCACUGGGCUCUGGGUUAAUAGGUUAGUCCCGAAAAUAAUAUAAAAGUGUAUAAUAAAGCCCAUAAACAUCCAAAACAGAUAAUAUAAUAGCAUGGAACAAUCCAAAAUUAUAGAUACGUUGGAGACGUAUCAGCAUCCCCAAGCUUAAUUCAUGCUCGUCCUCGAGUAGGUAAAUGAUAAAAACAGAAUUUUUGAUGUGGAAUGCUACCUAACAUAUUCAUCAUGUAUUUCUCUUUAUUGUGGCAAGAAUUUUCAGAUCCAUAAGAUUCGAGACAAAAUAUUAAUAUUGACAUAAAAAUAAUAAUACUUCAAGCAUACUAACUAAGCAAUCAUGUCUUCUCAAAAUAGCAUGGCUAAAGAAAGCUAUCCCUACAAAAUCAUAUAGUCUGGCUAUGCUCCAUCUUCACCACACAAAGUAUUUAAAUCAUGCACAACCCCGAUGACAAGCCAAGCAAUUGUUUCAUACUUUUGAUGUUCUCAAACUUUUUCAAUCUUCACGCAAUACAUGAGCAUGAGCCCUGGACAUAGCACUAUAUGUGCAAUAGAAUGGUGGUUGUGGAGAAGACAAGAAGGGAGAAAAUAGUCUCAUAUGAACUAGGCGUAUCAACGUGCUAUGGAGAUGCCCAUUAAUAGAUAUCAAUGUGAGUGUGUAGGGAUUGCCAUGCAAUGAAUGCACUAGAGCUAUAAAUGUAUGAAAGCUCAACAAAAGAAACUAAGUGGGUGUGCAUCCAACUUGCUUGCUCACGAAGACCUAGGGAAUUUUGAGGAAGCCCAUUGUUGGAAUAUACAAGCCAAGUUCUAUAAUGAAAAUUUCCCACUAGUAUAUGAAAGUGACAAAAUAAGAGACUCUCUAUCAUGAAGAUCAUGGUGCUACUUUGAAGCAUAAGUGUGGAAAAAAGGAUAGUAGCAUUGUCCCCUUUUUUAUUUUUUAUUUGGCCUUUCUUUUUUAUUUGGCCUUUCUCACUUUUUUGGCCUUUAUUUUGGGACAAUGCUCUAUUAAUGAUGAUCAUCACACUUCUAUUUAUUUACAACUCAAUGAUUUCAACUCGAUACUAGAACAAAGUAUGACUCUAUAUGAAUGCCUCCGGCGGUGUACCGGGAUGUGCAAUGACUCAAGAGUGACAUGUAUGAUAGAUUAUGAACGAUGGCUUUGCCACAAAUACAAUGUCGUCUACAUGAUCAUGCAAAGCAAUAUGACAAUGAUGGAGCGUGUCAUAGUAAACGGAACGGUGGAAAGUUGCAUGGCAAUAUAUCUCUGAAUGGCUAUGGAAAUGCCAUGAUAGGUAGGUAUGGUGGCUGUUUUGAGGAUGGUAUAUGGUGGGUGUAUGAUACUGGCGAAAGGUGCGCGGUAUUAGAGAGGCUAGCAAUGCUGGAAGGGUGAGAGUGUGUAUAAUCCAUGGACUCAACAUUAGUCAUAAAGAACUCACAUAUUUAUUGCAAAAAUCUAUUAGUUAUCGAAACAAAGUACUAUGCGCAUGCUCCUAGGGGAUAGAUUGGUAGGAAAAGACCAUCGCUCGUCCCCGACCGCCACUCAUAAGGAGGACAAUCAAUAAAUACAUCAUGCUCUGACUUCUUAACAUAACGGUUCACCAUACGUGCAUAUGCUACGGGAAUCACAAACUUCAACACAAGCAUUUCUCAAAUUCACAACUACUCAACUAUCACGACUCUAAUAUCACCAUCACCAUAUCUCAAAACAAUUAUCAAGUAUCAAACUUCUCUUAGUAUUCAAUGCACUCUAUAUGAAAGUUUUUAUUAUAUCACUCCUGGAUUCCCAUCAUAUUAGGACUAGUUUCAUUACCAAAGCAAACUACCAUGCUGUUCUAAAAGACUCUCAAAAUAAUAUAAGUGAAGCACGAGAGUUCAUCUAUUUCUUCAAAAUAAAACCACCACCGUUCUCUAAAAAGAUAUAAGUGAAGCACUAGAGCAAAUGAUAAACUACUCCGAAAGAUAUAAGUGAAGACCAAUGAGUAGUCGAAUAAUUAUGCAACUAUGUGAAGACUCUCUAACAUUAAAGAAUUUCAGAUCUUGGUAUUUUAUUCAAACAGCAUGAAAAACUAAAUAAAAUAAAAUGACGCUACAAGCAAAACACAUAUCAUGUGGUAAAUAAAAAUAUAGCUCCAAGUAAAGUUACCGAUGAAUGAAGACGAAAGAGGGGAUGACAUCCAGGGCAUCCCCAAGCUUAGGCUCUUGGUUGUCCUUGAAUAUUACCUUGGGGUGCCUUGGGCAUCCCCAAGCUUUGGCUCUUGGCACUCCUUAUUCCAUAGUCCAUCAAAUCUUUACACAAAACUUGAAAACUUCACAACACAAAACUUAACAGAAAACUCGUAAGCUCCGUUAGUAUAAGAAAAUAAAUCACCACUUAGGUACUUUUUUGAACUCAUUAUAAAUUCAUAUUGGUGUAAUAUCUACUGUAUUCCAACUUAUCUAUGGUUCAUACCCUCCGAUACUACUCAUAGAUUUAUCAAAAUAAGCAGACAACACAUCGAAAACAGAAUCUGUCAAAAACAGAACAGUCUGUAGUAAUCUGGAUCAAACGUAUACUUCUGGAACUCAUAAAAUUCUCAUAUAAAUUGCUGGACGUGAGGAAUUUAUCUAUUAAUCAUAUUCAAAAAUAAUUAACUAAAUAGCACUAUCCAGAUAAAAAUUGCAGCAAUUCUCAUGAGCGCUAAUGUUUCUGUUUUUUACAGCAAGAUCAACAAGACUUUCCCCAAGUCUUCCCAACGGUUCUACUUGGCACAAACACUAAUUAAAAUAUAAAAACUCAAUAAUAACAGAGGCUAGAUAAAUUAUUUAUUACUAAACAGGAGCAAAAAGCGAGGAACAAAAAUAAAAAUUGGGUUGCCUCCCAAUAAGCGCUAUCGUUUAACGCCCCUAGCUACGCAUGAUGAUUUCAAUGAUGCUCACAUAAAAGAUAAGAAUUGAAACAUAAAGAGAGCAUCAUGAAGAAUAUGACUAUCACAUUUAAGUCUAACCCACUUCCUAUGCAUAGGGAUUUUGUGAGCAAACAACUUAUGGGAACAAUGAUCAACUAGCAUAGGAGGGCAAACCAAGCAUAACUUCAAGAUUUUAAGCGCAUAAAGAGGAAACUUGAUAUUAUUGCAAUUCCUACAAGCAUAUGUUCCUCCCUCAUAAUAAUUUUCAGUAUCAUCAUGAAUGAAUUCAACAAUAUAACUAUCACAUAAAUCAUUAUUUUCAUGAUCUAUAAGCAUAGAAAUUUUAUUACUCUCCACAUAAGCGAAAUGCUUCUCAUUCGGAAUAGUGGGAGUAUCAUAAGAGGCUCGAAUACUAUAAAUCGUUUCCACAAUAAAAGGGUAAUGUUCAGAAAAGGGGUAAUCAUAAUCAUGACAAGUUUUAUAAAUAUAAUCAUCACUACUUUUUAUAGCAUAAGUAUCAUCAUAAUAUUCAUCAUAAGUAGCAACUUUGUUUUCAUCAUAAUCAAUUGAAACCUCUUCCAAGAUAGUGGAACCAUUACUAAAUAAAGUCAUGACCUCUCCAAAUCCACUUUCAUAAUUAUCAUAAUAAGAUUAAACAUUCUCCAAAAUAGUGGGAUCAUUACUUCCUAAAGUUGACACUCUUCCAAACCCACUUUCAUAAAUAUAAUCAUCAUAAGUAGGAGGCAUGGUAUUAUCAUUAUAAAUUUGCAUAUCAAAACUUGGGAGACUAAAAAUAUCAUCUUCAUUAAACAUAGCAUCCCCAAGCUUGGAAAAAACAUUAAUUGCAGCAAAUAUAUUUUCAAAAACAUCAUGUUCAUCAAACAUAGCAUCCCCAAGAUUGGGCCUUUUCAUAUCAUAAGCAUAAUCACUCUCAUCAUUAAUAGUAUUGAUAACACCAAUAGUAUAGCAAUUAUCAUAUUCUUCCAAGCAAGUGCCAAAAAGAUUUUCAAGAUCGUAAGAAGUAUUAUUAUCUUCCACAAUUAUAUUUUCAUGAGGCACAACAGUAAUAGGGGCAGCAUUAUUUGGGAGAGAUAUCUUUUUACCUCUCUUCCUUUUUCUUUUCUUCUUCUUCACCACAUCAUGUGUGGGUUCAAUCCUAUUUUUGGAGCUCCUUAUUAAUGAGAUUGGUUGAAUAGGAGGCUCCUCCUCGUUACCUGAUUCAUCAUAAGAAAUAGUAGGAGGGUAUUGGGAAGUCUCUUCCCUCUCAUUAGUAUUCUCUUUAUCUUCUAUUUGUUUUCUCUUUUUUAUGUAGUUGGCGAUAUAAGGAUUUUCAAUACAAUUCACUGCACAAUACAUAUAAAUUUCCUCUAGAUCAAAGCCAAGAAGUUUUUCACGGGCAAAUACUGGAAGAUAGUUAGUUAUCCGUUUCAUUUCUUCGUAACCCAUAAGCAAACUAAGUUCAUUAUGAUGUGCAAGAGAAAUCAAAUCAUCACAAUUUUUGUAAAUGAUUAGAUCAUGAAACAAUUUGCAUCGGAUGGUUAAAUGAUCGCGUUCAUUGCAAAGUUCACAAAUAUGGCCAAGAAAAUUUUAAUUUUCAGCACAAACAUCUAGCCUUUCUUGCAACCAUUUAGUUUCUAAAUGCUUAUGACUCUUGCAAUAUCUAUCUUCCCUAUUUGGUGUGUACAUGCAAACCCAAUGCACUUCAAAAAAAUUGAUAUGUUUAUAGGAGAAAUUUUCAUCAUAACUAGUGCAAUCAUCAUUAGUACUAUGGAUAUUCAAGGAGUUCAUACUAACAACAUUGCAAUCAUGCUCAUCAUUCAAAGAUUUAGUGCCAAACAUUUAAUGCAUUCUUCUUCUAACACCUUUGCACAAUUUUCCUUCCCAUCAUACUCACGAAAUAUAUUAAAAAAGAUGAAGCAUAUGAGGUAAACUCAAUUCCAUUUUUGAGUUUUCUUUUAUAAACUAAACUAGUGAUAAAACAAGAAAAUAAAAGAUUCAAUUACAAGAUCUAAAGAUAUACCUUCAAGCGCUAACCUCCCCGGCAACGGCGCCAGAAAAGAGCUUGAUGUCUACUACACAACCUUCUUCUUGUAGACGUUGUUCGGCCUCCAAGUGCAGAGGUUUGUAGGACAGUAGCAAAUUUCCCUCAAGUGGAUGACCUAAGGUUUAUCAAUCCAUUGGAGGCGUAGGAUGAAGAUGGUCUCUCUCAAACAACCUUGCAACCAAAUAACAAAGAGUCUCUUGUGUCCCCAACACACCCAAUACAAUGGUAAAUUGUAUAGGUGCACUAGUUCGGCGAAGAGAUGAUGAUACAAGUGGUAUAUGGAUAGUAGAUAAUGGUUUUUGUAAUCUGAUAAUAUAAAAACAGCAAGGUAACUAAUGAUAAAAGUGAGCACAAACGGUAUUGCAAUGAGUUGAAACCAGGCCUUGGGUUCAUACUUUCACUAGUGCAAGUUCCCUCAACAAUAAUAACAUAACUGGAUCAUAUAACUAUCCCUCAACAUGCAACAAAGAGUCAAUCCAAUGUCACUAAUAGCGCAAAACAAACAAAGAGAUUAUGGUAGGGUACGAAACCACCUCAAAGUUAUCCUUUCUGAUCGAUCUAUUCAAGAGUCGGUAGUAAAAUAACAUGAAGCUAUUCUUUCCGUUCGAUCUAUCAUAGAGUUCGUACUAGAAUAACACCUUAAGACACAAAUCAACCAAAACCCUAAUGUCACCUAGAUACUCCAAUGUCACCUCAAGUAUCCGUGGGUACGAUUAUACGAUAUGCAUCACACAAUCUCAGAUUCAUCUAUUCAAACCAACACAAAGUACUUCAAAGAGUUCCCCAAAGAUUCUACCAGAGAGUCAAGACAAAAACGUGUGCCAGCCCCUAUGCAUAGGUUCAUGGGCGGAACCCGCAAGUUGAUCACCAAAACAUACAUCAAGUGGAUCAAUAGAAUACCACAUUGUCACCACGGGUAUCCCACGCAACAGAUACAUCAAGUGUUCUCAAAUCCUUAAAGACUCAAUCCGAUAAGAUAACUUCAAAGGGAAAACUCAAUCCAUUACAAGAGAGUAGAGGGCGAGAAACAUCAUAAGAUCCAACUAUAAUAGCAAAGCUCGUGAUACAUCAAGAUCGUACCACCUCAAGAACACGAGAGAGAGAGAGAGAGAUCAAACACAUAGCUUGGGAUCAUUAUAUACCCUCAGCCCCGAGGGUGGACUACUCCCUCCUCAUCAUGGAGAGCAACGGGAUGAUGAACAUGUCCACCGGAGAGGGAUUCCCCCUCCGGCAGGGUGCGGGAACGGGUCUAGAUCGGUUUUCGGUGGCUAAGGAGGCUUCUAGCGGCGGAACUCCCGAUCUAUCCUUGUCUCUGAUAGUUUUAGGGUAUAUGGAUAUAUAUAUAGGCGGAAGAAAUACAUCAGGGGAGCCACAAGGGGCCCACGAGGGUGAAGGGCGCGCCCAGGGGGGUGGGCGCACCCCCUACCUCGUGCCUUCCUCGUUGCUUCCCUUACGUACACCCCAAGUCUUUUGGAUUGCUUUCGUUCCAAAAAUAAGUUUCGUGAAGUUUCAGGUCAAUUGGACUCCAUUUGAUUUUCCUUUUCUGCAAUACUCUAAAACAAGGAAAAACAGAAAAUGGCACUGGGCUCUGGGUUAAUAGGUUAGUCCCAAAACUAAUAUAGAAGUGUAUAAUAAAGCCCAUAAACAUCCAAAACAGAUAAUAUAAUAGCAUGAAACAAUAAAAAAUUAUAGAUAUGCUGGAGACGUAUCAGCAUGUCAUUAUCUUCAUCAUAUCUUUUCAUGCAUGAUGAAUUGUCUUCAUAAGUUGAAGAGGAUCUCCACAAGUACAACUUGCCAUGUGCAUUUGCAUUCAAAAGCAAAAUACUUAUAUGCACAUCUUCAGGGGGAGCCUUUUGCUACUUAUGAAGAAAAUAACUUAAUCCUUUACAAUUUCACAUACUUUUAUCCCCGUUGAAAAAUUCAACCAGUUUGUCAUCAAUCACCCAAAAGGGGGAGAUUGUAAGUUCAUCUAGUGCCACCCCUAGUUGGUUUUGGAGUAUUGACGACAAACCUGGUUGAGGGACUAAUGUGUUUGUGAGAAUUGCAGGAUAACACAGGUAGUAGUCCCUCACUGAUUCGGUUUACCUACCGGAGAUGACCCCUAAAAAUGUGUGAAGACAUUGAAGACAAUGGUGGUAUGUGAAGAUAUUCACAACGAAGAUUGUGAUUCGAGAAGACAUUCACGUGAAGACUAUGGAGUGCGAAGACAUAGCUGUUUCGUAGUUUCCUUUUCUUCUUUGUUGAGUAAUAGGAACCACCGUACUAUUAAGUGGGGUCCAAGUGAACAAAGUCAGAGUGACUGAAGUGAUGCUCGACCAAAUCCUAAGUCUUCGAGCAAAGACAAUGAGAGAAAAUCUUAUCUAGAGCUGGAUGAGUCAGCUUUACUUAUAGCCCAAGUUAAGCUACCACGUGUGUUUGAAAUCUGACCGUUGGAACAUGUGUCAGUUCCUUAGUGACCCAGGGUCAUUUCGGACAAAUCAGGUCGAGUUUCCUAGUGGCUAUAAAUAGCCCCACCCCCUACACCAUAAAUUGAUGGCUGCUCAGAGUUAGUGCACGGCUUUUGUCGUUUGAGAGCAACCCACCUCGAAGCCUUUGAGAGAGAAAUCUUUCGGAGGACAAAGCCCUAAACACCCAGAGCUAAAGAGUGUUAGGCAUCACUGAAGACUUUCUGUCUGUGUGAUCUGAAGACUUGUUACACCUGAGGACUAUGAAUCCUCCAGCCAGUUAGGCGUCACGUUCUGAGCAUCCAAGAGUCAUUGUGGAUCGCCGAUGAACAAAGUUUGUGAAGGUUUGGAAGUCUACCUUGAAGACUUACCAGAGUGAUUGGGCGACGAAUGUGUGUCCUUAGCUCAAGGGGAAUAAGGUGAAGAUGCGGUCUUCUAAGUUAAAUCUCAGCCUCCCUAACCAGACGUAUAGUUGUCACAGCAACUGGAACUGGUCCAGCAAAUACAUGUCCUCAUAGAGCAACUGGUUCUAUCUCUUACCUCUCUUUGCUUAUUGUUUGUCUUCGUGAAGUCAUUGCCUGCUUGCAUGAUCUGAUUGACUUCACUGUGUGAAGACUGUUGUUGAUUGGCUUCAUACUAUCUUCCAUCUUGAUCCAUACUACCUAGCUGUUGAUAGUCUUCGUGCUUUCACUUCAUUGCCUACUUGACUAUGGCUUGUCUAGUGUAGUCUAAAUUCCGCUGCAUAUCAAUAGGUUCAUUGCUUCUGUUUGUCUUCAAAGCCCCCGUGGUUUGAAGACUUUCAUAAAAAUCGCCUAUUCUCCCCCCUCUAGUCGAUAACUAGCACUUUCAAUCAUGGAGCAAUUAUAUGAUUACAGGAUGAUUGAAGACUGCCCCGUGGUUGAGCAAGCUCAUGAUAUACAUGCAUUUGCUAGAGAACUUGAGUACUUCAGUUGUAUGCUACCAGACACAGGUGGGUAGCUUCGGUUAAUUAAUUAUACAUCCAGUGCACCCCUUUUAAGUUGAAGAAUGUAUGAAAUGUAAUGAAAUCCGACAUGUUUAUAUGAAAUCCGACCGUGUAUGAAUGAAUUUAUUUUGAUUAGUUCGAAUUCGUGUAUCACUGGCAUUGGAUGAACAUGCAAAACAAUAUGUACUAGCAUUAUUCCCAGGGUGAUCACCUCGUUUGCAGCUGUUUCACAUGUACUCCCUCCGGUCCUUUCUAGUCUGCAUACAAGUUUUGUCUGCAGUCAAAGUAUCUCUACUUUGACCAAUCUUAUAGAAAAAAGUAUGCACUUUCACAAUGUGAGAAGUAAAAAGGAACAGAAGGAGUACAAAGUGUUUGAGCAGCUUUUUAGCGUUCCUAUACAUUGCAAUCAAACACACAAGCCUGGCAAUUCAUAGAGAACAUUCAAAACAAUCGAUGAUUAUGCAUCUCGGCGAUUCACAUGUCAGAGCCAAUAUUUACUUCACAGCUAAAGAAUAAAGAAAAAAUGGAUCGACGCUGCUGCCAACAAAGGGCGUCCCAUUCGAAAAUAUCAAACGCAUGUCUUUUUGCUAAAAUCAAUGAGCAAAAUUUGACAAGUUUGUCCCAUUCCAAAAUAUCAAAUGCCUACGAUUGUGGAAUGGGCAGGGUUUGCCAUCAGUUCGGACAUUGAUGUGGCACCCCGUGCUAAAUAAACUAGCUAUUCUUCUUGUGAAGUUCCACCAAAAUCAACCAAAUUCGCUUGGCACCUCCUUUAUUUUGGUGGAAAUGAAUGAUUCAAUGUAUUCAUGAACAUUUUGUGCAGUUCGCAUUGAAAUCAAGCUGAGCACCCCUGUUUGCACAAAGACAAAAAAAAGUGAUUAGUAUAAAGCAAAUUGUACUAUGAAUUGACAGUUUAAACAGGCACCUACAUGGUCCAUGUAGAGCGCACUUUUAGAAAAAUGGAACUCACCGGAAAGAAUCCUAGAACAACAUUGUACUCGCGCAUCACAACAAGAAAAUGGAGAUUUGUUAGUCCUUCCGAGCUGAAGUUAGUUUGGUCUUGUGGGGGGUAAUGUAACCAUCCUUCAACUGCUCCUUCUGAUGAGAAGAUAGGCGGGGCUUCUUCAUCCCGACAUAAUCGAAACUAGUCACUUCACGUACUCCAUAUUCUUCUUCAUAGGAGGAUGAUCCUGUUGUGCAAAGGCAAGAGGACAAUUAAAUGCUAGCAUCCCUGUUUGCUCAAAAAAGGAAAUGAAAUAUUUAAAACAACACAGACGAAGCACUUCUCAAGGACAAUACCACUUUUUGAUGACAGUAUCUAAACAGUAGCACAACACCAAUAGAGAUGACAAAGCUCAAUCAUAUGGAUGAAAUCAGUUGGUGAGUACCAACCUUUGUCACGAGGCUUAUUGUGUAGAGCAUACAGAUGAAGCAUUUCUUCGGAACCAUUUGUUGCUAUCUACUGUGGUGGCCAUGCUUACUAUAUACUCCUCGAUUAGUAUAAUGUUUCCAACAUCUUCUUGUGCAGUUCCACUAAAAUAUAUGGUAUCUCCAAAGAAGAUCCCUAUUUGCACAAGUAGAGGUAAUUUUGUAUUACAUUAAGAGUGGAAUCAAAUCAGUGGCAAAACAAUUGCUCAUUCCAGUCAUAGCAAUAAAUUAAGAUGCAAAACUAUAUCAUUACUUGUGUCACCACAGUUCCAGUGUCACCACGGUUCCAUUGCUUCAUUACAGCACCGGGAGUUGAUUUUUGUUUUUCUUCCGCUUGUUCUUCCCCUUCAUCACAUGGUUCAAUAACAGACAAGCUUCGCCUUCAAUGUAAGAUUUGGCAUGUCAAUUAGGUUGCACAAGUAUAGCACUAAACAAUGACAUUAAUUUUUGGAUGAAAGUGGCAAAAUACAGGCCAACAGUUGUGAAAUAUCCUUAUCUUACCUCAAUGGGAUAUUAAAGUGCACAUACAUAUUGGAUGUCUUGUCUCCAUUUGUGUAGUUCACUAAAAUCAAGCAACACACUACAAGAAAUAUGUCAACUUAUGACCUUCUGUCAGUGACCCUGGAAGAAUUGGUCAUAAAUCUAUGACCAUUUUAGACCAAUUGGUCAAAAGCUGUUCGGGGGGCUCCAAACCCUAAACCAUUGCGACCAUUUUGGUCAGAAAGGUCGUAAUUUCCUUACACGAAAUGGUCAUAAAGCAGACAACACUAGUCCGAUGCCUUAUUUCUAGCUGAUCAUGACCAAUAUAGAUGGUCAUAACCUUGUAAAUUGUGGUGGGUUGGUAUGACUAGGCGCCACCUCAUCAGUUUUGCCUAUGUCUCAUGUCCAUGUGGCAGUUUUUGCCCUAGGUUGUGAAGCGACCUAUAUUUCUGUCAUUCCCAAAAUUCCCAAAAAAAUCUCAUAAAUUCUUUGGGUCAUAUCUUCAUCGAAUAUGUAAAAGUCCUUCCUUGCCUAGUUCAAAACUAAUUCAACAAUAUUCAUUUCACUAUUCUGUUCACAAUAACACUUUAUGAAGGAAGUGCUAUUUAUAUAUUCUUGAUUGCCCUAGGAAUUUUUGGGCACUCUUUUCUAUCCAAAUCAUUACCGCAUGACAAAAUUCAGCUCCAUUUGCCUAGCAAAUCUUCCUCCGCAAAUUUCCAAAGUUUUUGUCCACCUAGAAGCAUUGUGAAGGAAGUACCUUUUUUAUAUCUCGAAAUGACAUGAAAUUUAUACAGUUCCUUCAUAUGCCCAAAUUAUCACCCUCCUCCAAAUUGCAGCUCAGUCAAAUCAUCUAUGUGAGCCCAGGUUCAAUUUAUAUUUUAUGGCCAAAUUGGCACGUUGCAAAGCAAGUGUUAUAUAGACCCCUCCUAUUACCCUCAAAUUUUUCGGGCACGCUUCCAUACCCAAAUCAUUGCCACAUGAUAAUAUUUAGCUCAAUUUUCCUAGUAAAUCUUUCUCAGGAAAUUUCCAAAGUUUUUACCUCGAGAGAAGCUUUGUGAAGUAAGUACUACUUUGGAAUAUUUAGCUCAUCCAAUUCAUCCAAUCUCUCUCACUAGUUUUCCCAAGUUUUUGUCCAUAGAAGAGCAUUGUGAAGGAAGUACUACUUUGGCAUGUCCAAAUGGUCUCAAUUUUCUACAAUGCUUUCCUAUGCCCAAAGAGCCAUCCUCCACUAAAUUUCAGCUCAAUCCAUUCAUUAUUUUGAUCCCAGCUUCAACAUUCAUAUUUAUGUCCAGUGUGGUACUUUGCAAAGCAAGUACCAUCUAGGAUCCUCCUUUUGAGCUAAAAAUUUGUGAAGACAUUCUCCUUAGUAGAUGAUCAUUCUCAGCCAAAACUCACGCCCAUUGGCCAUGUGCAUUUCCCGUACCGCUAAUCAAACACUUGGCUGCUUAUUCAUGUUUGAGCAUCGAUCGGUCUCCUCAUGAGAAUCUUAUGUUGUGAUUUUCUUCCUAUCACCUACCUGGGGAGUGCCCAACCCACUAGACAUGCCUAGGCUGCCCAGAACACAUGGCAACGCCACGGUCACGCGGUGACCACGCAGCGGGCAUGCGAGUUUAUGUGCUCUAGAGUUGGGGGCCUCGGCCACCGCCCAAACCUCGACGUAUCGCCACAAAACCAUGUAUUUAUGAUUAAAUAGGUACUUAUGUAACUAGAAAUGAUUUUUGGACAAAAUAAAUAGCAAACUAUGAGGCAGCUGCAGUUCAAAUUUGACCCGCUUCCUAUUGAAUCGGUGGGAAUUUGUCUUUUUCACCAGAGGUGGAUCAAAAAUUUUGACACCCAACCAUUUUGUCAAUUGUGCAUUAUAUAUGUCCUAGUAUUUUAUAAAAUUGAUUAGGUCCAAUUUUGCAACAAAUAUAUGGUAGGUCCUUCACAAAAAAACUCAUUUUGGGCACUCAGAAAAAUGGAAAAUGAAUUUUUCGUGCAAAGAAAAUGAAAACUUCCUAAGGCAACAUUGUUUGGAAUUCUAAGAUGCACCCUUCUGCACAAUAUGAGAUCAUUUGAACAAACUAUGCCAUGAAUGUGGCCAUAAGAUUGAUCAUUUGGCUUGAAAGCUAUGAAUCUUCACGCAUGAUAGCUCAUUUUUGAGAACACUUUUUUAAAAGAAUUGCCGUAUUACAAGUUUAUUAUUUUUCCUGGUAACUUAGCCAUAUAUAAUGACACAAUGCGAAGGGUUCCCAAUUUUUUGAUUUUUUUGAAAUUUUUAUGCCCGUUUCAAAAUGCGGUCAAAACGGCGGGAAUGACCGUUCCUAGCUAGUGGUUGAAUCUUGAAUUUUUUUUGGUGUUUCUCUGAUUAAAUAGAUACUUAUGUACCUAGAAAUGAUUUUUGGAAAAAAUAAAGAGCAAACUACGAGGUAGCUACUGUUCAAAUUUGACCCGCUUCCUACUGAAUCGGCAGGAAUUUGUCUUUUUCACGAGAGGUGGAUCAAAACUUUUUACACCCAAACAUUUGGUCAAUUGUGCAUUAAAUAUGUCCUAAUAUUUUAUAAAAUUGAUUUGGUGCAAUUUUGCAACAAUUAUUUGGGAGGUGCUUCACAAAAAACCUCCUUUUGGGCACUCGAAAAAUGGAAAAUGGUUUCUUCGUCCAAAGAAAAUGGAAACUUCCUUAGGCAACAUUAUUUGCCAUUCCAAUAUGCACCCUUGUGCACAAUUUGCGAUCAUUUGAACAAACUAUGCCAUGAAUGUGGCCAUAAGUUUGAUCAUUUAGCUUGAAAGCCAUUGAUCUCCACACGUGAUAGCUCGUUUCUGAGAACACUUUUUUAAAAUAAUUGCCAUAUUACAAGUUUGUUAUUUUUCAUGGGAACUUGACCACAUAUAAUGACACAAUGCGAAGGUUUCCCAAUUUUUUUUAUUUUUUUUGAAUUUUUUAUGCCCGUUUCAAAAUGCGGACAAAACGGCGGGAAUGACCGUUCCAAGCUAGUGGUUGAAUCUUGGAAUUUUUUUGGUGUUUCUCUGAUUAAAUAGAUACUUAUGUACCUAGAAAUGAUUUAAAAAAAAUAAAGAGCAAACUACGAGGCAGCUACAGUUCAAAUUUGACCCGCUUCCAACUGAAUCGGUGGAAAUUUGUCUUUUUCACGAGAGGUGUAUCAAAACUUUUUACACCCAACAAUUUGGUCAAUUGUGCAUUAAAUAUGUCCUAGUAUUUUAGAAAAUUGAUUUGGUCCAAUUUUUCAACAAAUAUAUGGUAGGUCCUUCACAAAAAAAACUCAUUUCGGGCACUCGGAAAAUGGAAAAUGUAUUUUCCGUGCAAAGAAAAUGAAAACUCCCUUAGGCAACAUUGUUUAGAAUUCCAAGAUGCACCCUUGUGCACAAUAUUUCUAGUUACUAAUCAAUUUUUUGAUUUUUUUUUUGAAUUUUUUAUGCCCAUUUCAAAAUGCGGUCAAAACGGCGGGCUUGACCGUUCCUAGCUAGUGGUUGAAUCUUGGAAUUUUUUUGGUGUUUCUUUGAUUAAAUAGAUACUUAUGUACCUAGAAAUGAUUUUUGGAAAAAAUAAAGAGCAAACUACGAGGCAGGUAUAGUUCAAAUUUUCCCGCUUCCAGUUGAAUCGGUGGAAAUUUGUCUUUUUCAUGAGAGGUGGAUCAAAAAUUUUUACACCCAACCAUUUGGUCAAUUGUACAUUAAAUAUGUCUUCGUAUUUUAGAAAAUUGAUUAGGUACAAUUUUGCAACAAAUAUAUGGUAGGUCCUUCACAAAAAAACUCAUUUUGGGCACUCGAAAAAAUGGAAAAUGAAUAUUUCAUUCAAAGAAAUUGAAAACUUCCUUAGGCAACAUUUGGUCAACUGAACAUUAAAUAUGACCUAAGAUUUUAUAAAAAAAAUUGAUGUGGCCCAAAUUUGCAACAAAUAUUUGCUAGGUUCUUCAUAAAAAAUCAUUUUGGGCACUCAAAAAAUAAUUCUCUUACAAAAAACUUAUUUCUGAGAACACUUUUUAAUGAUAUUUGCAUUAUUCAAAGUUUGUUAUUCUUACUGAAAAGUAGGUCACACUUGGUGACACAAUGCAAAGUUUUUUGAUUUCUAUUUAUUUUUAUAAAUUUUCUAGGUCGUCGAAUAGCAGACAUGUUUUAACAUCUUAUUUUCAAUCGAUUAUGACCAAUUUAAAUGGUCUUAAAAUCAUCAAAGGGGUACCGCGUUUUAAUUGGUCCAAAACCAUCUCAUGCAGAUAAUGGAUUAGCACCGUCGGAUACGCCCGGAUCCAACGGCAGCCCACACCCCCCUCAUCCACCCACGAAAACCCUAGCUCACUUAUCCCCAUCGCCAAUGCCGCUCCCACUCACUUCCCCCCCCCCUCCCGCCGCCGCAUGUAUCCUCAUCCUCGUCUCGUCGGUGCCGCCACCUCCUCCUUUCCUCCNNNNNNNNNNNNNNNNNNNNNNNNNNNNNNNNNNNNNNNNNNNNNNNNNNNNNNNNNNNNNNNNNNNNNNNNNNNNNNNNNNNNNNNNNNNNNNNNNNNNNNNNNNNNNNNNNNNNNNNNNNNNNNNNNNNNNNNNNNNNNNNNNNNNNNNNNNNNNNNNNNNNNNNNNNNNNNNNNNNNNNNNNNNNNNNNNCGAUCCCACCCACCGAACCAAUCCCGAUCCAGUCCAAAUCGAGAGAGAGCGAGCCCCCUCCCGCGAUUCCCACCACCGCCACCCCCCACCACCACCGACCUUAUCUCCGCCACAGACCCUCUCCCCUAGCCUUCACCCCCUAGAUCCACCAGUCCAGGCAUGGCCAUGGCGUCGCGGUCGGCUUUCUUGCCGGCGCGCGCGUGCGUGCUUCACGCCGGCCACGGGUCUCCGGUGGCUCGUUCCCCGCCCUUCCUGCGCUCCAGAUCCGGCCCCAACAAAGCCAUGGUGAUUCCCGUCGCCGCGUCUGGCCACCCAGCGACGGCGGGGAUGCGCUGCUGCAGCGCCUCCGCGCGGGGACCUGCAAGGCCGCGCCAUCCCCAACCCCAAGGUAUUUUCCUCUCCCAUCAUGUCCUGCGUUGAGCCCGUGCGAUUCUCCUUCUCGAGACGAGGUUCUGACAAUGUCAUGCGCUCCUUUGGUGUUCGAUUUUCAUUCCCGCAGAUGUCGUCCGAGGCGUUCAAGGUGGUGCUGCUGGAGUCGGUGCACCAGCACUCCACCGCACACAUGCGAUGACGCAGGCGGCUGCUUAGGGUUCUGGCCAGAUGUCGACGUCGAAGCCCCGACCCACCGCCAAAUGUGUCGCCCCCGCCCGUGAUGCGGUCUUUGCCGCAGAGUUGUGCCUCGGAGAUCCGCCCGAUCCGGGCUCCGGGGUCGUCUGCUUCGGCGGUUAGGAGCCCUGUGCCUUCCCCGGAUUGUUAUUACUUUGCUCUUGCUUCUGAUUUUGCUCUGGUCUCUGAUGCGAAUCUUUGCUGCUCUUCCUUUUCCUUGUAGCGUGCGUGAGCCGAUGGAGCGUGGGAGCGAGAUGAGGCCCGUGCACAACAGCAUCGACACCGCUCGCGCUUCGAUCCUGCCCUCUGUGUGAAUUUUUAGUAUCCUACAUGUUGCUACUGGUUGGGUCGUUUAGCGAGCUUGCUCUGAUCAUUAUGCUGCUGUGGUAGAGUUCACGGUUGCUUAGUAGUUACAUCGUCUGUCUCUGUUUUUAAGUGCAAUCGCUAGUUUGGGUACCUCACAUAUUCGACUUCUACUUUGUGUCAUUUGAUUUGUGCCACAAUGAGAGCUCGACAUGAUUGAUGCAUCUCGUUAUGAUAUCACCUGGUUGCCAACUCACAUGUGCAUGCCGGGUACCUGGUUGCUGUGUAAUAGGAGGCUGUGGCGGUGACCACCUAGGUGCAAGAGGAGAUUCUCCGUGAAAUGGGGAACGAUAUAUGCUCUAUGCUUUUCUGGUUUGCUUGCUCUAGCGAUUCUUAUGCAUAUGUGAAGUUAGAAUUGACGAUAGCCUAGCAUGUCUUUCAGUCUAUGCUAGUAGUGAUGCCCAAAUACAGAAUGUAGGCAUGACCCUGUGAGAAAGUGUUCAACAAUUGAUAUUAUAUUAUAAGAUAAUUGUGCUGAACAGUGAAGGAAAUAAAUAGUACUUUAUUAUGAUAACCAAUAUUUUUAUAUUCUCAAAAUAGUGUUGUAGAGGUUAGGUCCAGGGAGUAAAUUAUGAGUUGAUAGCAGUAACAGUGUAGUGAUGUUGUAUGCAAGUCAAAAUUUUGAAUAACCAAUUGCAUCAUAUUGUAAUCUUUGGUACUUUGGGAUCAAUUCACCAUCUGGUCCCGGCUAACCAUUUAGUGCUUUGGUGCUUUGUACACAUGCAAAGUAGUACUAAUCAAACUAGCCCAACAAACUGAGUAUUUCCUUUGGCCACAGGUGCAUGCAGCUGUUCUUGUAAGAACAGACAGUAGAGCAGAGUAGAUGUAUCAUCAUUAGUUUUUGUUGUUGAUUUAUUAGUAAGUUAUAAUCAUGCAACAAUUGUUUUGGUUGUGGACAGCUUGUGCUAUAUGUUCUGAAGGGUAUUCUUCCAAUAUGAUAGCGCUUUGCAGCCUGUGCUCAUUUUUAUUGCGUGUUUUCCUUGUGAUUUAUUCGUCUGAUGUCUGAUAUGUUCUGAAGGGUAUUCUUAGGCUCCUUAUUUUCUUUUGACCGAUGUCUUGCUUCUGGGGCAGCAUUGCACAUCAUUCUCCUCCUUUAUUUAUUUUGCUUUGUACUUUGCUGUGGUGUUGAACUGCCGCUGUUGGAUGAACAGGAGGUUUGGCCGGGAACAUGGCCUUGUCUUGCUUGAGGAGGAGGGACGAACCAAGGCACCGGCCCUGUCCCGCAACAAGGGGUCUGCUCCUCUACUUCCAAGGUAACCAAGUUGCCCUCUCUGAGCUUGAUGAGUUCAGCCCGGCCACGACCACGCACCGCUCCCAGCAGGUAGCACCUCCCUCUCCCUCUGCACACUCACUUGCUGCUAAUCUACCUAUACGGGCUUAUGCUAUUGUAAUUUCAUAAUGGUUGAUGUUUGUUAGCUUGUUAAACGGCUUGCUUUCUGCUAAUGGCCCAUUAGGUAGAGCAGCUAUGCACCUGGUGGUGGUCAUGGCCUUGCUGCUUCAUCAGUUUUUUCCUUUGGGUCAUUUGCAAGAAAGAAUUUUUGUCUUUGUUUUCAUUUCCUUGCUCUAGUCAAAUUCAUCGUUUUUUAAUACUAGCACUAGCACAUCAGAGUACUAAUACUUGCUAGAUUUUGAGUAUGCCACUGCUGCUAAAACAACAACAGCAACUUGAACAUCAACCAAGUUGCUGCACUCAAUUAAAUUAGCCUACCGACUAAUCUAGUACGUUAUUAAUUGUUGCUCUUCCAUUGUUUUGGUAUCUCUUGGUUUGCAAUGGUACAGCUAUAUGAUGAAUACACAUCAUGAUAUAUACUUGAUGAAUCUUCCUCCUACAUCUCAACUUGUGUAUCUGUUUUGGUAUCUCUUGCACCGUGUAUCUGUUUUCUUGUAUGAGUGGGUAUCUCAUUUUAACUAGUUGGAGAACAAAAAGCAUGGUACUAGCUAGCUCAAUUUGUGUUAUCAUUCUAAAUAAAUGUCAUUUUCUUGAAUGGUCUGUUCAUAAUAUAUUUUCAUGUCAAGUUUCACCAGCGCGAGGCAAGCGACCGAGGUGGCUGCUGCUGUGACCGAAGAUCAGAAGAAGCUUGGAGAUGUGCACAAUAGUUUUGGUGCCUCUGUAUUUGUUUCUGAUUGUAUGUACACUUGAUGGAUCAUGCAGAUGUGCUAUUCUGAGUUUCAUAGAGUGAUUUUUGGAUUUGAUCAUUUAAUUGUGAGAAUUAUUAAUUGUUUGCUGUUGAAAUGUGUAAAAUUGAAAUCUGUGAAUGACAAAGGCUGAAUGUUCGUCUAUUGGAUCGAAUAAUAUUUGUGCUCUAAAAAGGCUAUGGCCCAAACAAUAGUGGACUGGAAUAUUGUGCAUUUAUGAAAAACAAAAAC